rnacentral:rRNA from 1 species
UGAGGAAUAUUGCACAAUGGGCGCAAGCCUGAUGCAGCAACGCCGCGUGAGGGACGAAGGCCUUCGGGUCGUAAACCUCUUUUCUGGGGGACGAGUAAGGACGGCACCCCAGGAAUAAGUCUCGGCUAACUACGUGCCAGCAGCCGCGGUAAAACGUAAGAGGCGAGCGUUAUCCGGAUUUACUGGGCGUAAAGCGUACGCAGGUGGCUUCGUUAGUCGGACAUGAAAGCUCCUGGCUUAACUGGGAGAGGUUGUUCGUUACUGCGGGGCUUGAGGUUGGGAGAGGGACGUGGAAUUCCCGGUGUAGUAGUGGGAUGCGUAGAUAUCGGGAGGAACACCAGUAGCGCAAGCGGCGUCCUGGCCCACACCUGACGCUGAGGUACGAAAGCGUGGGUAGCAAACAG